AGAAUUAACUGUGAAGACGCCUUCAUAUUACGAUGAAGUCCAUUCUCUUUGCUUUGGUCAUCUUUGCUGUGGCUAUGCAGGUUUUUUCGGAUAACUUAACCGUCAAGGUUGACGCAGGCAAGGAGAAAUUUCUCACUAGCGUAAGUAAACUACCACUUUUAACUCCAAAUUAAGUCUUCGUCUUAUCUGAAAUCAGUUUUAUGCAAUUG